GGCUAUUUUGUCAGUUUUCAUUUGUGGCCUGGUCUUGAUUUGCCAGCAAAGUGCACAUGUAUUUGUAAGUCAUUAGGCAAAGCCAAAGGUCCUCUGCAGCAUUAUCAACAUGGGCAUUGGGAGGCCAAAGAUGCCAGAGUAAAACACGAGUUGGUUGCUGUUGUCUGCUUUUUGCUGGGACAUGCUAUUUGCUCAAACAAACACACAUCCUGGCACUGGCCCUGUCCCUGGCCCUGGCUCUGGGCCCUGUGCAUGUCUUGACAAUUUGCGCCGUGGUUGAGCUGCCCUGCGGCUCCGUCUGCGGCUGUUGCUUUCCCUUGUUGCUAGGUGUAGUGUUUGGCUUGGAAAAUGUGGCUGCUGAUGCGUAUCGUGAUGCUGGCACUUACAAACAAACGGACAGCUGCUUGGGGAGGCCCCACACGCACACACAUGUUAAGCAUCAGAACAGGCCACAGAAUCAAUAUGCAUAUAGAUUUGUUGGGGGACUGCAGUGGCUGUUGGGACAACAUUUGCAUAAAGCAGCGAUUGGCAGGUGCCAUCACAAUCAGCCGUAACAUUUACUGAGUACAUGCCACAUAUACAUAUGCGUAUCGUGUGGCCCAGACCUAAUUAUAUACGUUGCGUCGCUGUUCAGUUGAAAUUGAGAGAGAGACACCUAAUAAAUCCCAGUGCUGCAUCAGCGCAAAGUCCCAAAUCCAAUAAGUAAAUCCGUAAGCCAAAGCGAAAGCGAACAAAAAAUAGGGAAAAUAAGAAAGAAGACAAAUAAAAUGUUGUAGCAAAUGAGCUGCCUUGGCGUCAAUUUCCAGCGCAACACGCACACAUACAUACAGAGAUGCACACUCGCACACACACAAAGCCAGAUCCCCACGAACAUCAUAAUAAUAAGCCUUGGGAAUACGUAUAAAGUGUGAAAAAUAUGUAUGAAUGCAGCAGGCUAAAAUUAUUCGCUUAAGAAAUACGCUAUAAUAAUAAUAAUGUAAAUGCAAGAGAGAGAGAGAGAGAAAGAGAGAGAGAGAGAGAGAGAGAGAGAGAGAGAGAGUGAGAGAGCCCCUCUCUCGGAGAUGCUCUUGUAUGCUUGAAGGAUCCUUAUAAUAUUAGUUCUUGCAACUAAAAUUGAAAGAUAGUCUGUAACAAGAAGUAGAUUUUGUAGAUAAAAUUAAAGCUUUCUAAGUGAAUAUAAGAAAUACCCUUAAAGUAUUAGAGGCCAUAGAGUUAUUGAGCUUUGAGAGCUCUUGGCUGAAUACGCUUUGGACUACUGA
rnacentral:sRNA from 1 species